CCAGGCAAUGUCUGGCCGCAGCCAGGGCCCAGCGAGGCUGACGGUGACCGUGGCAGGGCCCUGGAGGUGAGGAGAGGGCAGGAGCCGGGGAACUUUCUGUUUCAUUUGUAAAGCUUUGACUCAGCGGCCACAUGCCAACCCAGAGGUCUCCAUGUUGCUCCUAACGUGGCUGCAACACACGGAUGGGAGACAGCGUGGGUCGGUGUCCUGCUGGUCCUUGGUAGGCGAUGCUCUGAUCAGUGAGGCUGAGAGCGUGGAGGUCCUCAAUGGGGUCUCAACGGUGCGGACCCCACAACACUAGACCCCUUCUCUGAUUGUCUGCCAGCUGGAUCCUUCCCCUUCCGGCCUAGGAUCUGUGAGUGUGAGAACUGAAUGAUACUACAUCAGACGACCGAGGAUGCGAUGGCUGGAUGGCAUCGCCGACUCGAUGGACUCCAGACUCCAAGGGCGCCGCGUGACCAGCCUGUUCCGUGGCGAGGAUUUCCGUGACGGGUGGCUCGGGCUACGUGACUGGACCAGACCCUGGCAACAGUCGCCCCAGGCCUCGGGACCCCCAGUCUGACUCUGCCACGGGCUGCUUCUUCCUGCCCCUGGAAUUUUACACGAUUACAGCGAUUGAUCUGACGGAACUGUCUGCUGGUCAACCCUUUCAAGUCGUCUGUAAUCAUCAUUGGUUUUAUCCGAGGCUCAGUCACAUUGUUUUUGAUCAAAGAAACAAUCGUCUUGUAAAAUAGGCGGAAUACGCGUAAUAUAACGAGGGGCGUUAGUGAGGUCAUGAGCGUGGCUUUAAGCUCAGAAUGUCUAUUGGUGUGGCCCCGUAUCUCCCCCGAUCAUCUGGCCAUCCUGUUAUGUACCAGUUGCUAUCUUUAAGGGAAAUGAUAUGCUGCUCAUAAAGUCCACCAAAGAUGUCUGCACGUCCAAGGCCAGCGGUGGGUCAUCGUGACCCCUUACAGGACCGAGAAAGGAAUGUUAUCUUCUAAAGAGUUACAUGGUUGACGUCAAGACAAGAAAAAUAGAUUUUUAUGGUUGAGCAGGUGUCUGCCAUCCAUGUUUAGAGGUACUGGUGUGGCCUGGCUGGAGGAGGUCCACUGAGCCCCGCAGGGAUCAUGCUUUCCAUACCGCAUGUAAGAGACCUUGGCAUUGUCUGAAUGCACAGCGAUUCUCCCCUGAGGUUUUAUGGUUCUAGUUUCACAUUCAGGAUAUUGAACACAGUGCCCUGUGCUACACAGUAGGGCCGGUGACGGCUGUGAAGAGUCUGGGCCAGUUUUCUUGAAGAGGAUCUCACAAUCAAAUUGGUUGGACAGUUUCUUCACAGUCAGACCCAGGCUGAACUUUGGGUCCAGAAUACGGCUUCAGUGGCGCUGGGGCCUCUGGGCUCUUCACGGCCAGGUGCCCGAGGCCCGGGGCGCUCACUCGUGAUGCUGCUGAGACUGCUCACCAGCUUCAGAUGAGGCCCACCAGGUUUCUGUUUCCAGCUGCUGAGACCUGGAUGCCCGUCGGCAGCUGAAUGGACGAAGCGGCUGUGCUUCGUGUACACGAUGGGACGCUACUCGGCUGUUCAGAUGGACACACGGGAGUCGGUUCUAAUGAGGUGGGUGAACCGAGAGCCUAUUAUACAGAGUGAAGUAAGCCAGGAGAAAAGCAACUAUCGUAUAUUAACGCGUGUACGCGGAGUCCAGCAAGACGGUGCUGAUGAACCCCUUCUCAGGCAGCAGCGGAGACGCAGACGUAGAGGGCAGACUUGUGGGCCCAGAGGACGCGAGGGCGGGACGCACGGACGGAGCAGCCUGGAGACGUGAGCACCACCCUGUGUGAGAGACGGAGGAGCUCAGGCCCGGUGCUCCGGG